rnacentral:tRNA from 1 species
GCCCGGCUGGCUCAGUUGGUAGAGCCUGUGAUUCUUGAUCUCGGGGUUGUGAGUUCGAGCCCCAUGUUGGAUG